rnacentral:lncRNA from 1 species
AGAUAAUCAGUCUACAUAAUAUACUAAAGAGUCAGAUUUUAUGUGCUUAAUCAAGAGAUAAUCUCGGCUUAAUUGGAUACUGCAUGAAAGUUUUGUUUCAAGUUAUAUCAGUCAUUCAUAAUGGCUGAUUUGGAGUGAAUAAAGUACAGAAACUGGUGCUACAUGUUCAAAUAUAAAUCACACCACUGAUAGAUACAUAGAUUCAUACACUAGGGAGCAGAAUAUGAUAACUACACCAAACUAAACCGACACAUGAUUAUUAGCAUUUAGCUAUCCUCUUUCCUAAUACCUGGUCACAACAACAUACCAUCAUACAACAUGUUUUACCCUUCCUGAGAAGGCCAAAGGAAGGCCCCCAUGGCGAACUUCCUCUUCUGGUCGACAUCACCAGACACAGGCAAACCAUACUCGUUCAGGAGGCGAUCCAGCUUCCACUCUGGCAUAUUCUCAUAGUCUUUCUUCCCGUACCUCGGGUAAUGCAGCGGCAUUUGGAAUGAGGACUGGAUAUUAGUGCUCUUGUUCAUAUUUUGCCCAUGAGGCCUCCCCCCGAGCAUAGAUAAAGCGGCAUUUGCUAGACUAAUCCCUGCCAUCGAUAUCUUCUUGCUUCACACUAUUUCUUGCUGCAUACGGGGACUCCAAUUUGCCCUUUUAUAGGCGUCCUACAAGGAAGGCGAUUAGAGAGAGAGCGAGAACAUAGAAGCGUGUACUGGAUGGGGUAACAUUAAUGUCAUGAAAGCAAACGUUUAGAGAAUGGUGGUGGGGUUUCGUUAGAAUUGUGGUAUGCAGCACUGCAAUUAUGCAGUGCACUGAACUUGUCGGGAAAGGUACCUUUCGGAGAAUGCAAGUAACUACAUAUGUGGAUUGAAUGGUCAGGAAUCUAGGAUGAUCUUGAGAUACACGUUGUCACUACCGUUCAUCGAUUAUCUCGAUUUUUCUGUGUCAGGAUUUGAUGUUCCCAGUUAGAUCCAGAUUUAUCUAGUAGAGUGGCAUAAGCUUUUGAACUCAAGAGUCAAGGCUACACAGGUAAAGGUGAAAAUAAGAUCGGGCUUUCUUAAGCAUUGCAUAUCAAAUGCGAUGUUUCAUACCUAGUAGUUAACGAACAUGAAUCAGAUACAUAUACGUGAUGCAAUAACACAAAUCAAGCAACAAAAUGAAUUUUCUUUCCCCUCUCUUUCCAAUGCCCAAUCGCAUUAAAUUGCUUCCUGUGUUGGCAUGACCAGAAUUCUUCUGAAGUCAAAUACCUCGGCUAACACGAUGACGAUGAUUCUGGUAUUUGUCCAAAUCGAGCAGUUGUGUGUACAUUUGCUAAUUGUCUUUUCCAAAAGUCAUAUCAGGCUUCCGUGGACACCAUAUCACCACACGCAAUUCACAUCAAUGCCUAUUAAUUGCAAUGUCAAGUCCACUUGCGUUAUCUUUGUACAUCAGCGGAUAACUCAUAUCGGCAAUCUGAGUCCAGUCGGUUAUUUCACUUCCAUUGAGAUCCUUGGGUUCCUUUGCACUCGCUGAACCUACAUUCAGGUGGAAAGAAACAGAGAUACAUCUGUGAGAUGUUCUUUUUUCUAUUACAUAACCAAAGUGAUCUCUCCUUCUAAACAUGGGUCUAGUCACUACCACUUCUGUCCAUUUGAUUGUCCAGUCAAAAACAUCAAUGCGUGUAAAUUCUCCAAUGCCUCAUUUCUGGAAAAACCCGUGAAUUGACAUCUUAUUGAAGGACAUCUCUACACUUGUUCAAUAUUUUCCUAUGUCAAGAUUCAAGUAGAUUCAGAUACGAGUGAAUGUCACUGUUGCGUUUAGACAAUGUCCUCCUUCUAAAGCAGUUAGAGAUUUACCACUUGGACCUAUAAUGGACUGCUAUUUUUAUCCAGAGAAACAAGAGAAAUAUUGUUUUUUGAAGAUAGAGUAGAAACUUUCAUACCAGGAUGUCACUAACUAAGCAAGUACUCUCGAGUCUCAGCAUUCCCUGCUUUGUUGAGAUAAGUGUAUGUGCCCCAAGGAAAUAAAGCACCCCGGAAGAACUGCUCUCACUCUGCAUUGGUUACUGCAAGUAAUCCAUUGAAUUAACAUUCAGUGCACACCAUUGCCUUAAAAGCUUCUAACAACAGAAAAUGCCACAUUAAAAUCAUUCAGAGGACUCGACAACGUGCUUUGCAAUUGCCUCGUAGUUACUGCAUGCGGUGGUAAUUGACUAAGACGAAUUUUCAGUCACAUGACAAUAUGAAUAAGUUGCAAAUGCCAUUUUCCUUUCUUCAUUCACUGAACAGACAAACAUGUAGACGUAAUGCCUGCAAUAUAAAGAACAAACACUGACUGAAGUCGAUUGUGGACUCCAGCGUUACCUCUAUAAGAACUUACAUCGAGCAGUAGAUGACUAAGGCGAUCCUUUUUCCCCCUUGUUUGAUAAACUAAUCAAGGCAUUCAAUGAUUAUGACAUUUUGUCUGGCCAGCUUGAAAUUAUGGAGCUAAGAGUCAUGGGGGCUCCUCUGAGUCUGAUAUAUCCUUUAGCAAGUGGGUUGUGCCCAUCAUGAUUUUAGAAGUCUUAAAUGUCCUCAACUCAAUUCAUAUUGUAGAUGUAGAAUAUAGUAUCAUCUGUCAAUUAUGAAUUUGCAAAAAUUCUGCAAGGAAAACUAGGAUUAAAGUGAGGUACAAUAAUUCUGUUUGAUUUCUAGUAUGUCAUUUGUUCUUUUUUCUUUUGGGUUCAAUUUAGGUAUCGAAAUUGGGGAGGAAGAACUAAUAAGCCAUGAAAAUCUCGAUGUCUCCUGGCCACUUGACUGGUUCCAUGAUGGCUUUAACAAUUCGUGCACUAUUCCAUUGACUACAUGUCCACUUGGACGUGUAGUAAUUAUCACCUUCCCGGGUUCAUGUGUCGGCCAAUGGAUUAUCAUGAAUACAUGCACAAGCAUAUAGUCAAUUGAAUUAUGGCUGACGAAUGAGCACAUUAACGGGUUAGCUGCAUAAGAGAUGUAUCCUAGUUCGUACAGAAACUCUGCAUGCUCUACAUUUCGACCACUCACUCUAAAAAAAUCGAUCCAAUCAUGAGAGAAAAAAACACAAAUACUCUGGCAUAAGAUUUGCAUUUUUGGAGGUUGAUACUGAGACAGGAUGGUCGCCUUUUGUAUGCCUCGCAAGAUAUAUUUGCACCAUGACACACUUGACACGAGUUAAUCAGUUGCGUCACGGAACAUAUCCACUUCACCAGAAUAAAAAGAGAAGAAUAAUAUAAUAUUCAUUCAAAUGAGUAAAUUGGAAAUGAUACAACUGUAACAUCUGUAUAUUACAAAAUCAAUGUAUAAGAAGAACAAGAAUCUUAGUUUUGAGCGUCUGCUAAGAAAAAUUGCCACAGAUUGUGUACUAGGCUACUGCUUUUGGCUAUAAGCCAAAAAUUGCAUGCAUCUGUGUCCAAAACUUCCACAUGAUAACAUUGACAGACAGAUCAAAAGUUGAUAUUUCACAUGACGACCGUGUUCCAGCUUUCUCGCGAGUGCAUUUCACUCUACUUCCAGCAGAAACCGCAGGAGUAUGUACAUGUCCUCAGGAGUGCUUUGCAAAAGCAUUACCCUAUUAUAUGCCCGAUACAAUGUUGCAAGGAAGGAUGGAAAUCAGUUGUUACUUUCAGAUGACUACUUGAAAAAAUGUCAUUGAUCAUCUGGUAUGGCCUUGGCAUUGCAUCAUGAAUCACUCUUUUGCUCAAUGGUAAUCUCUUUUGAUUUUCAGGAGCUGCUUUUCCAUUUGGAGGAUAAUCAACAAGCAUACUUGGAGGAGCAAAAUACAUGUGUAGCGACAUCAUACAGAUAAUGAUACCCAAGAAAAGCUGCAGCAGCCACAUUAAAUGAAACGAUCAUCUAUAGUCCAGAUGAAACAAGUAUAUAUGAAAAAGAACAUACUGAGAAUUAAGAAAUCCAAUGAUUUAUUAGUUUGAGACUUACUUGCAGUGUAGGCUUAAAGUUGAGAAGAUAAAUGGAAAGAACCAUUGUCAGCAGCAUGGCCAUUGACGUAGAAUAAACCUGGCAGAAAUAAUUAUAAAUAAAGACAACAUUAUUAAAAAGACUUUAAGCUGCUAGGAAAUGAGCCAAAAAAUAUUUAAUUAAGCACAUAUGCUUUCAUUCUCAUGCCAAUGGCCCCACGCCAUAACUCAAUAGAUUUGCAGACAAAACUCAGAAAUGGUCCACCCGAAAUAGAUACAUUCAGAAUAAUGAAAUGUAGAAUACAAGAAUGGGGUACUGAGCUUCAGGGGUCAGGGGGAUCAUAGCAAAUGCUGAAGAAAAGUACUGUAACUAGUAAAACCACCAAUUUUAUCCCAAAAUUAUGAUUAAGAUAUAAAUCAGUUCUUUUGCAACUGAACUUUAGCAAAAGUAUCAAUAACAUGUAUAUGAAAACCAUGAUCUGCAACAAGGACUCACCUUCACAGUGUUGUCUGCAUACUUCAUCAACCAUGAAACCAGCAAAACCAGUCGAUCCUAGGUUCAAUACCACCAUCCAAGUCAUAAUGGUAUACCCAUCAAAAAGCCGUUGCCACCAAGGGCCCUUUUCAAAGCCCCCUUGAAAAUCAUCUGAGAGAAGUCAUACCAUGUUGAAGAUCACACUGAAUCUGCAGAAGUAAAGAAUUCCAGUAAGAUACAGCCAUGAAGAAUUUUUUUUAGCAAAUAAGAACCCAACCAUGUAUUUAUGAUGAAGUUGUAGCAUUUGAAUAAACUUUUGAAUAAUUUUUUUUUUUGUUUUUCCAUAAAGCUAAUCUUAAGCAUAAAUCUUUCCACUUCAGCAAAGAGUGGAAUUUUUAGAAAGUCCUACCCAAAAGUUUAAGUUGAUAGGUGAAGGGAGAUCACAUGUACAAGCCGGAUUACGAGUGGCGCGUGGCAUGCACAUUUGCGAAAGAGAUAGCACUAGCUAUGAUAACAUGUUAGAAAAUCCAAUCCAAAAGCUAAAGCUGAUAAAUAGAGGGAGGCCACAUGAUAUAAAGAGCAUUUAGGACCUGUUGUCAAGCGAUGUGAGACAAUACUUCAACCGGAACACAUACAUUCCUUGCUAAACUGUCAUAUAAAUCAGCUCACAGCUCUUGACCUUUGUUUUAAGCCCUUAUAUAAGAAAACAGGGAAAUUGAGUUUUGACAUAAUCAUAUAAUAUUUUCCCACUAACACAGGAACCCAGUUCUCCCAGAGUAAAAUGUUCAACUGAAAAUACAACACUUUGCAGAAGACUAAUGAAGAAUCAAGAGAGAACUCUCAAAAGUAAUAUUUGCACAAUAAAUGCGACAAAAAAAAGCAUCAUUUGAAGACGGAGAACACUAAUUAUCACAAAGUAUGAGUAAGGCAUGUAGUAGUGGUCUUUCUGCAAGCUAAAUUGUGGAAUGAGUACUGUUACACCAAACUAGGAAAUACAGAACAGAAAAGAGAUACCUACAUAUAGAACUGUACAUUCUGCCAAUACAAACUAUCACAGUUCUUCUUCAUCAGAAACUCUGUGUAGACGCCGGCUAAUGCUGACAUAAUGCAGAUAAAGCUGUUGAAGAAAUGUUAGAGAUUACAUGAUUGUGUGUGCAAGGGGUAGAUUGCAUCUCAAAGUGCAAUUCUAUGUGAAUAUGAUGGGCAGUAGAAAACUAGUUUCUCAUUUUCAUAAGGUUCAUGCCCUGGAUGAGAGGUCAAUGUAACUAUCGUAUUAAAUGAAUGACUUCCCGACAAGACACCUAUCAUUCUCUGCAGAAACAUACGACAUCGCAUGAUUCCUCCACCGCACGACUUCAUGUUCACACCAAGCAGCUGCUUUCACAGAUUCUUAUAACCUGUGGUUGCUUAGCAUUGGUAUUGUUUUGGAAUUUCUCAAUAAAUGGAUCUUGGUUUGAUCUAUAUGCUGUUGAAAGGGUUUAACUGCAUUGAUCAAUGGAUCUUGGUUUGAUAUAUGCAGUUCAAAGGAUUUAACUGCAUCGAUGUUGUGAUUCCCUGAACUCUUCUUGGGUUUGUUCUGAUUAUAUCACUUGGUACUGAUGAAUUCCCCUUUUGCUUUUGCUUGUACUGCAAUGUUUCUCACAUCCGGUUGAAACAUCUGUUCUUGGGAGGUUUGCAACUCCAGUCUUGAAACUGGAUAUAAAUUUAAAGUGAUCUAAGGCUACUUACUGCUCCAGUCCUUUGUGAAGAAACUCUCGAUACUAAAAGUUAGAGAACCAUUUGCCAAGGAACUCAGCUUUAUUUUUAUCUUAUGAUACAGAGAAAAUAUAUUGAUGCUGUUCAUUCUUUAUGAGGGAAUCAAUCUACAUAAUAUACUAAAGAGUCAGAUUUUACGUGAAUAAUCAAGAGAUAAUCUCGGCUUAAGUGGAUAUUGCAUGAAAAUUUCGUUGCAGGUUAUAUCACAGUAAUUCAUAACAGCUGAUUAGGAGUGAGUAAAGUACCGAAACUGGUGCUACAUGUUCAAAUAUAAACCACACCACUUUACAUAGAUUCAUACACUAGUAGAAGAAUAUGAUAACCAAACCCACUAAACCGACACGUGAUUAUUAGCAUUUAGCAAUCCUCUUGCUAAUACCCAGUCACAACGACAUACCACCAUACAACAUGUUUUACCCUUCCUGUGAAGGCCAAAGGAAGGCCCCCAUGGCGAACUUCCUCUUCUGGUCGACAUCACCAGACACAGGCAAACCAUACUCAUUCAGGAGGCGAUCCAGC